rnacentral:rRNA from 1 species
UACAGAGGGUGCAAGCGUUAAUCGGAAUUACUGGGCGUAAAGCGAGCGUAGUCGGUUAUUUAAGUCGGAUGUGAAAUCCCCGGGCUCAACCUGGGAACUGCAUCCGAUACUGGAUGGCUUGAAUCCGGGAGAGGGAUGCAGAAUUCCAGGUGUAGCGGUGAAAUGCGUAGAUAUCUGGAGGAAUACCGGUGGCGAAGGCGGCAUCCUGGACCGGCAUUGACGCUGAGGAGCGAAAGCUAGGGGAGCAAACGGG